rnacentral:rRNA from 1 species
UCUGCAACUCGACUCCGUGAAGCUGGAUUCGCUAGUAAUCGCGCAUCAGCCAUGGCGCGGUGAAUACGUUCCCGGGCCUUGUACACACCGCCCGUCAAGCCAUGAGAGCCGGGAGUGCCUGAAGGCCGUGACCGCAAGGAGCGGCCUAAGGUAAAACUGGUGACUGGGGCUAAGUCGUAACAAGGUACC